UCUAAUUAUAUCUUUGUUAAUCAGGUUAAGUUUAUUUACUGCAUGGACAUUGAUGCAAUGUGAUUUAUUCACUUUUAUUUUUGAAAGGGUAUAGUGAUGUUAUCUAAGCUUUUCAUUUAAAAUCGUUGAAUGUUUAGAUAUGUUACACUGAGCAUUCAAUUGUGAAUAGAGUUUGAGCCAGAAAUUACUCUUAGAGUCACUUCUGGCUCAUAAACUAUGCUUUGGCCAUUAUUUGUACAAAUCUCCUAAGUUAAUCAGUCACUUCAAGUUUAAUAAUUGUAAGAAUAUCUGUUUUAAUGACUAUUAUACCAAAAGCUCAUCCAUUACUAAAUUUUAAAAGUUCAAGAUCAUAAACAUCUGUGCCUACUAUGUAAUAGAAUAAGCAGUAUGAUGUAACAAUUGACUACAAACUAUUGAUUUUUCAUAAAGGUGAUGCUUAAGCAUUGCCUUUAUGAAAAAUCAAUAGUUCGUAGUCAAUUCUUGUUAUGGAUAACGAGAAUUAUUUCCAAAGUGGGAGUUGUCAAAAAAUCAAAGUUGACAGAAAAUUCAAGAUAUUUUAAGUUGAUACAAAGAAAAUGAAGGAGAAAAUAAAAAGUGAGCACUACAAAGUGGACGAAAAAUAUUUAUUAAAAAAUUAGACAAAUCCAAGAAUUUUGCAAUCUUCAUCAUUUGAUUUUCCUUCAAGCAAUCAUCAGGAUAUGAUUCUAAAUAUUUGAGCAGUGUUUAUCAAGUUUUGUAAUUAACUUUCAAAUAGAAAUUUCAGUAAUUACAUGAUUACAAGAAAUUAUUUAUUUAAUUUUUUCUGUUUGAAUAAAAAAACUUGCCCUUUUUUCCUUAUAAGAUGCACUGUUGUAUUGGAUGCAUUACAUUUUUUAUGUCAAUUUUUUGGGGGAAAAAUAUAAAAUAUCAAAUAACAUUUAUUUUAUUUGAUAUAAAUUUUUUUUAUUUUUAAACCUUGUUCAGUUCUCUUUGUUUCAUUUGCAGGUCAGAGAAAUAGAAAAGAUUUUCCAAAGAAGACAUGAAUUACUUAAGAAGCUAUUUUGAUAUCAUUUCAAUGAUUUAUAAGUAUGUUGUACUUAAAUGAAUUUAACAAUGAAGAUAAGUUUUUAAUGCAAACAAUAGGAAUAUUCUCUAAUUUUCUAUAAUCAUAAAAACAUUGGAGUGUAGGAGAAAUGAAGAAAGCUGCUGUGCCCCAGGACUUAUCAGAAGAAUGGGGUCUAUGAUCAGCAGCUUUUUUCGGACAGGUGGUCAUUUAUUGUCAUCUGGGAUUUCCGAGUCCACUCGGCAAACAGUGCUUGCACUGUUGGAAGAAAUGCGACAGAGGGAAAAUUCACAUAUUCAUUGGUCGGCCAUAGAAAGUUUUCUUGUGCAUAUUCCAAAGGGAGAAAAUAUUCUUGCUGUAACUGCUCCAGAUGGUUAUAAUUUAUUGCAAAGAGCCAUUGGUUUUAAUUGUGUAGAAUUAGUACGUUGGAUCUUAAAUCGAGGCUGCGAUGUUAACAGAGGUGGAUGCAGCCUUCCUUUACAUAUUGCAGCAUUACAUGGAACGGAAGAGAUAGUUGAAUUAUUGUUGAAACAUGGAGCUCGAGUUGAUUUGGAAGCUCGUAUGUGCUUUCCAGGUCCACAUAAUCAGAUAUGUGAAAUGAGAAGCGUGUUGUCAUCAAACACUACUGUAGAUCGUUCUUCUGAAAGGUUACAGUCAGCAGAGUAUUAUGCAAUUGAUGGGGAUCAAGCAGAAAUUCUUGAAUUACUUUUAGCACAAGGUGAAGAUAAUUGGUUGCCAUGGCAACAAAAACGUCCUCUUCUUCAUUUAGCAUGUGAGCGUGGGGCAUGGAAUUGUGUAAAGUAUCUGGUUGCUGAACGGUCAGAAGAAAUUAAUCAAUGUUAUGAUGAGUAUUACCCUAUUCAUCAAGCUGCAUUGCAAGAUUUAAAAUUCUUAGAGUUGUUAAUUCAAUGUGGUGCAGAUGUCACUGUAAAGACAGCCACACAGCAGAUGACAGUAUUACAUGUUGUGUUGUUACUUGGAAAGAAAUCUGCUGAAGAAACAUCGUGCACCUUAAAACUUCUAUUAGAUCAUGGUUGUCGAAAAUUUAUAAAUGAACCUGAUAGUUUAAGUAAUACACCUUUACAUGGUUUAAUUGUGCGCUAUGCUUUAGAAGAAAGUAGAUAUGGUUAUGUUAAUGAACCUCGUCCAUGGAAUAAAUGGGAUAUGUUGCAUUUAGUAAGAUAUUUACUUUAUAAUGGCUCUAGACCAAGUAUUAAUCAUCGUGGAAAUAGUGCACUUGCCUGUGUAUUGAGACAUGUUAGAGACUGGGAAUUUCGUUAUGAAUUGUUAGAUAUGCUGCUUCAGAAUGGAGGAAAUCCCAAUUGUGUUGGCAGAGAUGGUUCAGUACCAUUAAUGGUAUGUCUUGUUCCUUUAAUAAACAAGGAUCCACUUCAUCGGCUGACACACAGCAAGAAAGUAUUUUAUUUGAAUUCUGUACGUUUAUUAUGUAAGCAUGGUGCCAACCCAAAUUGUUCUUCAAUAAGUAAUUUAACUCCUUUACAUGUACUAGUCUUUACUGCAAGUGAAUAUAUUACUCUUAAUCGUGAAGAAGAAAAAAGUAAUGCUUUUGCUUUUAUUCGUCAGUUGUUAAUUAUACUAUUACAACAUGGACUUGAUCCAAAUGUGAGGUUUUCUCAGAGGACGCAACACAUUUUGUUAGCAUUAAUGGAUAUGGUCCAAAAUGCUCGAAUGCCCAGUGAUCUAGAUUAUGUAUAUGAUCUCACUUUGACAUUAUUACAAUAUGGAGCAAAUCCAAAUACUAGCGUAAUCACUACCGAGCCAAUGAUAUGUCAUUCCCAAAGUUCAGUCUUCCUGAAAAAGUCAUGUCAUCAGGUUUUAUAUUAUUAUGUUCAACUUGUAAUUAGGAAGGAAGAGCUUUUAGUUGAUCUAGAUCAACGAUUUGCCCGUCUAAUGUGGUUAUACUAUUAUUCAAUGAAUCAUAGAGAAUUAUUUACCUGUUUGAAAAUUUUAAACACUCAAAUGGCACUAGUACCCGUUCGUCAAAUUGUGGCGACUAUUCUUCGUCAGAUGUACACGGAACCACGUACUCUGAAACAGAUAGCCAGGGUCAAGAUAUAUAGUGCCUUGAAUUACAGUGUGGCACCAAAUAUAAACAAACUCAUGCUUCCAGGACCAUUAAAAGAAUAUCUUAUGGAAUGGAUGCCUUAGUUUGUUGCUGGAAAUUCUUCUUCAGAUUCUUGGAGUUUUAAGCAUUUUACCAAAUAAAAUUACCAAAGUUCUCCAGCUAUUAAGUAUGAUCACACAACACUAGAAGUUAUGAUUCCAGCUGUAAUUCAUGUGUAAUGAACAUGUUUAAUGUUGUGCUACUGUUGUUGAAACAAAUUCUCAAAAAGAAUUAUCACUUUUUCAUUAGAUUUCAUGUAACAUUAUGCCUAUCUUAUUGUAUAAACUUAUUGAUUUA
rnacentral:misc_RNA from 1 species